GAAAAGGGUUUCGAUCAGAGCAAUUACUUCGCUAAUCGCUCGACAAGAUCCAUAAUCUGAGGAUCCUUCACCAGAAGGAAUUAAUUAAACUCAGGUUGUGCAGAAUCGUGAUCAGUCAAAAGAUUCUGGGAACUUAAUUUUUGGUUAUUUUGGAGGAGGAAGAAGAGUUUAAGCUCUUUUUCGCCUCCACC
rfam:Tetranychus urticae London genomic scaffold, scaffold_9